rnacentral:misc_RNA from 1 species
CUUGGUCAUUUAGUGGAAGUGGAGGAAGCCAUCCGGAAAGCCGCCGACGUGCGCGCAGACCUUGUGGCCGAUCUGCGCAACAUCGAGGCAAAGAUUGCGGCCAUCCGCGACACCAUUCUCAAAGAAGCGCGCAUCCUCGGCGUGACCUGCACCAAAGCCUACUUGGCUGUCCGAGAAAUCGGGCAGGUUGAUACCGUCAUCAUUGAAGAAGCCUCGAUGGUACUGUCGCCCGUGGCUUGGUUUGCUGCUGGACUCGCCAAAGAGCGUGUUAUCGUGUGUGGCGAUUUCCGCCAGAUCCCGCCCAUCGUUUCAAGCAACCAGCAGAGCAUUGUUGAUACUGUCGGUAUGGACGCGUUCACCGCCAACG